AUUGAACGCUGGCGGCAUGCUUUACACAUGCAAGUCGAACGGCAGCGCGGGCUUCGGCCUGGCGGCGAGUGGCGAACGGGUGAGUAAUACAUCGGAACGUGCCCAGUAGUGGGGGAUAGCUCGGCGAAAGCCGGAUUAAUCCCGCAUCCGACCUGAGGUUGAAACCGGGGGUUCUUCGGACCUCGCUCUAUUGGAGCGCCCGAUGGCAGAUUAGCUAGUUGGUGGGGUAAAGGCCUACCAAGGCGACGAUCUGUAGCUGGUCUGAGAGGACGACCAGCCACACUGGGACUGAGACACGGCCCAGACUCCUACGGGAGGCAGCAGUGGGGAAUUUUGGACAAUGGGCGAAAGCCUGAUCCAGCAAUGCCGCGUGUGUGAUGAAGGCCUUCGGGUUGUAAAGCACUUUUGGCGGGAACGAAAAGGACUGUGCCAAUACCACGGUUCGAUGACGGUACCCGCAGAAUAAGCACCGGCUAACUACGUG
rnacentral:rRNA from 1 species